GUAUCCUACUCCGGAGAGUGGCAAUCACAUAUAAUUAAGUGUGAUUGAAACCUCUAAGAGUGGAGUAACACAUGACAUGUACU
ensembl:miRNA